CCGGGAUGCAUAGGUUCUUGGCUGGUUCCUCGUCCUCACAAGUUCGUCUCUCUCUCUAUCGAGUUUUAUGAAACUUUUUUUCUUGACGUGGGUCUGUUUAUUUGGUUGAAUCCGUCGAGAAAUUUUCUUCUUUUCCCAUUUUUCCUUCACCGGCUUCGUUUCUGACGGAUUUCUUCAUUUUUUUCAUGUUCGAUUGGAUGGUUUGAUGCAGUCUUUCUUUUCUCCCAAUGAAAUGUGAGGCAGAAUGUCAUGUAUCGGUGUUUAUGCUCUUGUACAUGCAUUGUCAUUGAGUGUUCCCUGCCAAAAGCGAUCUUUUGAGCGAAAGGAACAUCGGGCAAACCCUAAUUUUUUAUUGGGUGUCGCGACAAUUGCUUCUGCUAACAUCCUCUCCAUGAACAGCGGGAAUUCGCGUUUGUUGAUCUAUGAGGCAUGUUAGGGUGUAUCACCGAAAGUGUUUCCUGCAAAAGCGAUUUAUGGGGUAAAUGGACAUCAACAAACCUUCAUUUUUUUUGGAUGUCUCGACAAUUUAUUUUCCUCAAAUGCCUGUCAAAAACAGGUUUUCAUUGAAAUUAAUCGUUUCCUUUGCCGUAUUCUAGCUAUUGUUGUUCCGGUUUUCUUUGAAUCUUCAGAUCUCACACAUUUGUUCUGAAAGCCCGAUGAUGGAAAAUACAUAUGAAUUUAGAGGCAGUUAUGGCUAUCUAAUGUUGUUAACCGACCCAUGCUAUUUUAUCACCUCCAUUCUCAUCGUAACCUCCGUUACCGCCUCCGCCUCCUCCUCUUCCUCCUCCUCCAUUAACUACUUUUGACGUUCUCACUUUCAAUGCAUGUGAAGGCGAGCUACAUGAGAUGCCAUAAACUAAUCCUCGAUGAUUGCUAAAAGCUAUGAGAUCUGAGGGCUUUUGUGUGUCAGAAUGUUCUACACACGAAACAAUCGAUUUCUUCAUUCUUUCAAAUUUGCUUGGAUUAAGUUUUCAAUGAAUGCUCUGUUUGCCGUCUUCAGUUCUGACGUUUUUCCACAAAAAAUUGCUAUUUGAGCAUGCUGAUAGUGUUCAUUAGGAUUGCGAUCUGUUGAAAGAGGAUAAGAUUGGUCGCACAUUAGAUUUUGCUCGUUUGUGAGAUUGGUAGGGAAGAGUUUAUAUGGAUACUAUUUUGUUUAUAUCUUAGAUAUAUGUUACCAUUUGAUUUAAAAACUUAUGGUUAUUUUUGACCGAGAUUACUUGAAAUGAUUUGGUUUUGAAUUUUGAUAUUU